rnacentral:rRNA from 1 species
CCUACGGGAGGCUGCAGUGGGGAAUUUUGGACAAUGGGGGCAACCCUGAUCCAGCCAUGCCGCGUGCGGGAAGAAGGCCUUCGGGUUGUAAACCGCUUUUGUCAGGGAAGAAAUCUUCCGAGCUAAUACCUUGGGAGGAUGACGGUACCUGAAGAAUAAGCAACGGCUAACUACGUGCCAGCAGCCGCGGUAAUACGUAGGGGGCAAGCGUGAAGCGGAAUUAGUGGGGGUAAAGCGUGCGGACGGGUGUGAAAUCCCCGGGCUUAACCUGGGAACUGCACUUGUGACUGUACGGCUGGAGUACGGCAGAGGGGGAUGGAAUUCCGCGUGUAGCAGUGAAAUGCGUAGAUAUGCGGAGGAACACCGAUGGCGAAGGCAGUCCCCUGGGCCUGUACUGACGCUCAUGCACGAAAGCGUGGGGAGCAAACAGGAUUAGAUACCCCAGUAGUC